CUACGGGUUGCUGCAGUGAGGAAUAUUGCACAAUGGGGGGAACCCUGAUGCAGCAACGCCGCGUGGAGGAUGACGCAUUUCGGUGUGUAAACUCCUUUUAUAUGUCAAGAAAAUGACGGUAGCAUAUGAAUAAGCACCGGCUAACUCCGUGCCAGCAGGCCGCGGUAAUAGGGAGGGUGCAAGCGUUACUCGGAAUCACUGGGCGUAAAGGACGCGUAGGCGGGUUGGAAAGUCAGGUGUGAAAUCCUACAGCUUAACUGUAGAACUGCACUUGAAACUUCUAAUCUAGAGUAUGGGAGGGGGAGAUGGAAUUAGUGGUGUAGGGGUAAAAUCCGUAGAUAUCACUAGGAAUACCUAAAGCGAAGGCGAUCUCCUGGAACAUUACUGACGCUAAGGCGUGAAAGCGUGGGGAGCAAACAGGAUUAGAUACCCUAGUAGUC
rnacentral:rRNA from 1 species